rnacentral:rRNA from 1 species
GACGAACGCUGGCGGCGUGCUUAACACAUGCAAGUCGAACGGAAAGGCCCUGCGCUUGUUGGUUGCUCGAUUGGCGAACAGGUGAGUGACACGUGAGUAACCUGUCCCUAUCUUAGUGGGAACUUCACGAAACUGGGGCUAUUAUCCGAUAGAAUCUUUUGCUGCGUGUUGUUGGUUGGAAAGUGUCGGCGGUUGGGGAUGGACUCGCUGCUUAUCAGCUGGAUUGUGUGGUAGGGGCUUACCAAGGCUUUGACGGGUAGCCGGCCUAAGAGGGGGACCAGGCACAUUGGGACUGAGAGACGGCCCAGAAUCCUACGGGAGGCAGCAGUGGGGAAUAUUGCACAAUGGGCGGAAGCCUGAUGCAGCAACGCCGCGUGCGGGAUGACGGCCUUCGGGUUGUAAACCGCUUUGGCCUGUGACGAAGAGUGAGUGACGGUAAUGGGUAAAGAAGCACCGGCUAACUACGUG